AUUGAACGCUGGCGGCAUGCCUUACACAUGCAAGUCGAACGGCAGCACGGGGCAACCUGGUGGCGAGUGGCGAACGGGUGAGUAAUGCUUCGGAACGUACCUUUCAGUGGGGGAUAACGUAGCGAAAGUUACGCUAAUACCGCAUAUUCUGUGAGCAGGAAAGCAGGGGAGCGAAAGACCUUGUGCUGAUUGCGGGGCCGAUGUCAGAUUAGCUAGUUGGUGAGGUAAAGGCUCACCAAGGCGACGAUCUGUAGCGGGUCUGAGAGGAUGAUCCGCCACACUGGAACUGAGACACGGUCCAGACUCCUACGGGAGGCAGCAGUGGGGAAUUUUGGACAAUGGGGGCAACCCUGAUCCAGCCAUGCCGCGUGAGUGAAGAAGGCCUUCGGGUUGUAAAGCUCUUUCGGCCGGGAAGAAAUCGCACGGGCUAAUACCCUGUGUGGAUGACGGUACCGGAAUAAGAAGCACCGGCUAACUACGUGCCAGCAGCCGCGGUAACAC
rnacentral:rRNA from 1 species